rnacentral:rRNA from 1 species
GUGGGGAAUAUUGGACAAUGGGCGAAAGCCUGAUCCAGCCAUGCCGCGUGUGUGAAGAAGGUCUUCGGAUUGUAAAGCACUUUAAGUUGGGAGGAAGGGCAGUAAGUUAAUACCUUGCUGUUUUGACGUUACCGACAGAAUAAGCCCCGGCUAACUUCGUGCCAGCAGCCGCGGUAAUACGAAGGGGGCUAGCGUUGCUCGGAUUUACUGGGCGUAAAGCGCGCGUAGGUGGUUUUGUAAGUUGGAGGUGAAAUCCCCGGGCUCAACCUGGGAACUGCCUCCAAAACUGCAUGACUAGAGUACGGUAGAGGGUAGUGGAAUUUCCUGUGUAGCGGUGAAAUGCGUAGAUAUAGGAAGGAACACCAGUGGCGAAGGCGAAUAACUGGACUGAUACUGACACUGAGGUGCGAAAGCGUGGAGAGCAAACAGGAUUAGAUACCCCGGUAGUCC